UUGGAGGGCAAGUCUGGUGCCAGCAGCCGCGGUAAUUCCAGCUCCAAUAGCGUAUAUUAAAGUUGUUGCAGUUAAAAAGCUCGUAGUUGAAUUUCGGGAUCAAUAUUUCGGUCAUGCCGUUGGUAUGCACUGUUAUCAUUGAUUUCUCACCUUCUAAAGAACCGUAAUGCCAUUAAUUUGGUGUACGGGAAUAGGACGUAACC
rnacentral:rRNA from 1 species